GUGAUGACAGAGGCAAAGAUUGGAGUGGUGCAUCAACAAGACAGGGAGCAUCAAGAAUUGCUAACAAACACCAGAAGCUAAAAAAGACAAGGAAGGAUUCUCCUCUGUGGUUUUCAGGGCCCUGUGGACACCUUGAUUUGGACUUUUAGGUUCCAGAACUCUGAGACAAUACAUUUCUGUUGUUUUAAGCCCCCAGUUUGUGGUUCUUUGUUGCAGCAGCCCUAGCAAGUUAGCGCAGAUGUAUCACUCCCACCUCCCUUCAGACAUGCUGUCUAUCUUCCUCUUACUCAACACGUCAAGCUCACUUUCUCUAGAGGCCUUUAUUUUAGUGGUUCUCUCCCUCCGGAAAAAUGUGUGUUACCUUGGUGUUCACAGGCUGGAUCCUCUUUGCCAUUCAGAUGGCAGCUUGCACGUCGCCUCUUCAGAAAGGACAUCUCUGAGCAUCAAAACUAAUGUGGCGUCACAUAAUGAGAGAAUGAAUGAGUGGCUAAAACUGAGAGUCAUAGCCUAAAAGAGGUAGAGAUGGGUAGUUGAGGAAUGGACCUCAUGGUAGUGAUGUAGGGAAACAGGGGAAGCAGGAGGUUGAAAUCACCUAGUCAAGGACCACCCCCUCUUUUUCUAGAGAUGGGGGUCUCACUCUGUCACCCAGGCUGGAGUACACUGGCAUGAUCAGUGGACUGAUAUUCCAUGAAUAUUUUUUGAAUGAAGGUAUCAGUUAAAAAAAAGAAAAGAUAUCUGCCAAAGUGAAGCUGGUUUGAGUGACUGGACCAUAGGGAAUAGGCUGUGAAUAAUUCGACUGGGUCUUGAGAUGGAG
rnacentral:lncRNA from 1 species